rnacentral:lncRNA from 1 species
UGGUAUGAUAAAAUAAUAGAGUUUUUGCUCCAAAGUGGAUAUUACAUCACAUCAUUUGACUCAAGCCUGUUUGUUAAGGUAUGUGAUAGAAAACUAGCAAUUGUGCUAGUUUAUGUAGAUGAUUUGAUCAUCAUCGGAGAACAUGCAAGAGAUCUGCCAAACAAGAGAAAAUCUAUCAAUCCGUUUUCAGAUAAAGGAGCUCAAAGAGCUUAAACUUUUUCUUGGGCUCGAGG